CAGAUUAUACUAGAGAACUUGAUCGAUAGAUUCACUACACAAUCUCUACAUCAGAUUAUUGUCUCAACUUGACAUCAUCGGAUUGACAUUCUCUACAUAAAGCUCGUGCGAGCGAGAGCGUGCUACAAGUCGAAAAAAAAAAUUCCCCUCUACAGCAUGUGCUCCCACAUCAUUUUCUCACUUCUCAACUUGAGUUCCACACCUCAUAAACAGUUGAGGUCUCGUUGAGGCAACACACCUGAGAGGAAGCUACAGCUGAGAGGAGCCACCUACACACUCGAGCACGCAGCCAUCACAUAUAUGACCUGUCGAACGGAAUCAUUUGAUGAAUAUAUAAGCUCAGUAUAUAUUAUAAAUAGACAUUUUAAUGAAUUACGUAAAUAUGAUUCUGUUUCUUUAGAGAAAAUGCCGAGAAUACAAAGUUAUCGUUGUGAACUAACUGAACUAUUGGAGACGCAUCAGCAAUUAUUGAACCAGUUAGCAGAAAAAGGAUGGACAAAUAUGAAAUAUCUAACAUUUGUGAGAGACUAUGAAAAAUUAGGAGUUUGGCAUAGUGAUAACUAUAAUCAUAUUUCAGUUUGUGAUUUAUACGGUACAUCAUAUGAUGCUUACAGGGGAAAAGAUUGCCCCGAUUCAUGGAGAUGUGAUUGUGCACAUCUUAAAGAGUCUAUCGAUAAAAUUAAAAAAUAUAUAACAGAAAAAAAUAAACAUUCAACAAAAGAACAAUUAAAUGAACUUAUCUGGAAUUUUUUAUCUAGAUGUUCAGAUGAGAGUGGGCUAGAACAAGAUUGAUAGCAUAUUAUGUUUAAUUUCAGAUUGGAGAUGGA